GCCAUGGCUCAGCUGGAAAGGCAUUUGCUUGAAAUGCAGAAGGUCGUAGGUUCAAUCCCUAAUAUCUCCA
rnacentral:tRNA from 1 species